rnacentral:rRNA from 1 species
UACAGAGGCCUCGAGCGUUAGGCGGAAUCACUGGGCUUAAAGCGUGUGUAGGUGGAUGCCUAAGUACCUUGUGAAAUCCCACGGCUUAACCGUGGAAUGGCUGGGUAUACUGGGCGUCUUGAGCCACUCAGGGGCUACCGGAACAAACGGUGGAGCGGUGAAAUGCGUAGAUAUCGUUUGGAACGCCAAAGGUGAAAACAGACAGCUGGGAGUGUGCUGACGCUGAGACACGAAAGCCAGGGGAGCGAACGGG